rnacentral:lncRNA from 1 species
CACUGCCAUCAUCACCCCAAGGCAGGCUGCUACUGCCUUUGCUGACCCCCGGGGUGGCCUCACGGUGGGGACAAAGCUGCCAGGAGCCACAGCAGCCACAGCUGGGGCUUUGCCUGCCCCGGGCACCUGGGGCUCUGAGGCCCCUGGGGAGGCUGGGCCCAGCGGCUGCCCCUGGAGAACACAGACAAAGGACUUCCCCACAGGGAACUGUGCCCUAUGGAGGGAUCAGACAGGUCUGGGAACAGCCACAGAGGCUGCGUGCCUAUGACACAGCCCCUCCUCCGCCGCACACUCCCCCUGGGUCCUCAGGCCCACCCAAGCGCCGGGCUGCAGAGGAAGCGGGGCUGGGGAGGCUGCAGGCAUCAGAGACACUGGUGGUGGCGGACCCACCUGCCGGGCAAGGCCGCCGGGCCCCGUGCUCUCAGGCUAGCCCAGGUCGUGGAGGCUGGCAGGCUCAGGUCGGGUGUGAGACGUGCCGUGGCUGCGCUC